rnacentral:rRNA from 1 species
GACGAAGGGGGCUAGCGUUGUUCGGAAUUACUGGGCGUAAAGCGAGUGUAGGCGGUUGUCCAAGUUGGAUGUGAAAGCCUUGAGCUCAACUCAAGAAAUGCAUUCAGGACUGGAUGACUAGAGGACCGGAGAGGAUAGUGGAAUUCCCAGUGUAGUGGUGAAAUACGUAGAGAUUGGGAAGAACACCAGUGGCGAAGGCGGCGACCUGGUCCGAUACUGACGCUGAGGCGCGAAAGCGUGGGGAGCAAACAGG